AGAUGCCGCCCAGUUUCAGGUGUCCCAUGCCGCCGUGCAUGGGGUGAAACGGGAAGCCGGUGCGUCACUCAGAUGACCAGUCCGGCGCUGCCCCCGCAACGGUAGGCGAGCGAAACCUUCUAUAUACCACUGUGCUACAGCCUCACAGGCUGCAUGGGAAGGUGAAGGUUUCAUGAUCCUCGCAAGCCCGGAGACCGGCCUGCAACUUCAGUUUGGC
rnacentral:ncRNA from 2 species